rnacentral:rRNA from 1 species
AGGGUUUGAUUAUGGCUCAGGAUGAACGCUAGCGGCAGGCUUAACACAUGCAAGUCGAGGGGCAGCGAGAUUGAAGCUUGCUUCAAUUGUCGGCGACCGGCGGACGGGUGCGUAACGCGUAUGCAACCUACCCAUAACAGGGGGAUAACACUGAGAAAUUGGUACUAAUACCCCAUAACAUCUCGAGUGGCAUCACUUGGGGUUGAAAGCUUCGGUGGUUAUGGAUGGGCAUGCGUUGUAUUAGCUAGUUGGAGAGGUAACGGCUCACCAAGGCGACGAUACAUAGGGGGACUGAGAGGUUAACCCCCCACAUUGGUACUGAGACACGGACCAA